GCGGGGGUAGCCAAGCCUGGUCAACGGCGGCAGGCUCAAGACCUGCUCCCGCAGGGGUUCGUGGGUUCAAAUCCCACCCCCCGCA
rnacentral:tRNA from 2 species